AUAAUAAUUUAUAAAAAUAAAAAUAAAUUUAUUUAUUAGAAAAAUUAUAUUAUAGUUUUUUAAAUUAAUUAUAUUAAUAUAUUAUAUAUAAAAUUUAAAAUUUAUAUUAAAAAUUUAAGUUAAAAUAUUUAAUAAUUAAAUCUGUAACAAUAAAUGAAAGUUUUAUUCGGAAAUUAAAUUUAAUAGAGAUAAAUAUAAGUGCCAGCAAUAGCGGUUAGACUUAAUUUAUAAAUUAAUUAAAAUUAAUUGAUUAAAAUAAGUAUUUAAGUUAUAUAAAAUAAUUAAAUUUAUUAAUUUAAGGUGAAAUUUGUAAUUAAUAAUAAUAAUUAUUUAUACUAAUAAUUUAUAAAUUAUAAAAUUUAUUUAAAAACUAGGAUUAGAUACCCUAUUAUAAAAUUAAUUUAAAAUAUUAAAUAAUUAAAUGUUGAAUCAUUAAAAUUAAAUAAUAUGGCGGCUUUUUAUAUCUAAUUAGAGAAAUUUGUUUAUUAAUUUGAUAAUCCACGAUAAGAAAUACUUAAAUUUUACUUGUGUAUUGUUGUUUAAAUAAUUCAAAUAAAUUUAAAUUAAUAAUAUUUUUUAUAAUAUAAAUUCAAAUCAAAAUGCAGUAUAUUUAAGGUUUAAAAUGAAUUUCAAUAAAUUAAAUUUUUGGAUAAUUUAUUUUAAUAUAAAUUUGAAAGAGGAUUUAAAAGUAAAUUAAAAUAAUUAUUUUAAUUGAAAAUAGUUCUAAAAAGUGUACAAAUCGCCCGUCAAUUUCAUUUAAAAGUUGGAAUAAGUCGUAACAUAGUAAAAGUACUGGAAAGUGUUUUUAGAAUAAAAUGUAGAU
rnacentral:ncRNA from 1 species